AUUGAACGCUGGCGGCAGGCCUAACACAUGCAAGUCGAACGGUAAAAGGAAGAAGCUUGCUUCUUUGCUGACGAGUGGCGGACGGGUGUGUAAUGUCUGGGAAACUGCCUGUUGGAGGGGGAUAACUACUGGAAACGUAAGCAAUUACCCCUUAAUGUCGCAAGCCCAAAGCGGGGGACUUUCGGGCCUCUUGCCACCGGAAGUGCCCAGAUGGGCUUGGUAUGUAGGUGGGGUAACGGCUCACCUAGGCGACGAACCCCAGCCGGUCGGGAAGGAUGACCAGCCACACGGGAACUGGGACACGGUCCAGACUCCUACGGGAGGCAGCGGAGGGGAAUAUUGCACAAUGGGCGCAAGCCUGAUGCAGCAAUGCCGCGUGUAUGAAGAAGGCCUUCGGGUUGUAAAGUACUUUCAGCGGGGAGGAAGGGAGUAAAGUUAAUACCUUUACUCAUUGACGUUACCCGCAGAAGAAGCACCGGCUAACUCCGUG
rnacentral:rRNA from 1 species